UACGGGGGGGGCAAGCGUUGUUCGGAAUUACUGGGCGUAAAGGGUGCGUAGGCGGCUUUCUAAGUUGGAUGUGAAAACUAUGGGCUCAACCCAUAGCCUGCAUCCAAAACUGGAGAGCUUGGGUUCUGGAGGGGAAAGCGGAAUUCCUGGUGUAGCGGUGAAAUGCGUAGAUAUCGGGAGGAACACCAGUGGCGAAGGCGACUACCUGGCCUGUUCUUGACGCUGAGGCGCGAAAGCUAGGGGAGCAAACGGGG
rnacentral:rRNA from 1 species